UGUUCUUCGUGAACUAGCGAACUGCUCAGUAACACGUGGAUAACCUCCCCUUAGGUCCGGAAUAACCCCGGGAAACUGGGGAUAAUACCGGAUAAGCCAUAGACGCUGGAAUGCCCUAUGGUUCAAAGCUCCGGCGCCUAAGGAUGGAUCUGCGGUCUAUCAGGUUGUAGUGGGUGUAACGUACCUACUAGCCGACGACGGAUACGGGUUGUGAGAGCAAGAGCCCGGAGAUGGAUUCUGAGACACGAAUCCAGGCCCUACGGGGUGCAGCAGGCGCGAACACUUUACAAUGCGGGAAACCGCGAUAAGGGAACCCCGAGUGCCAGCAUCAAAUGUUGGCUGUCCAGAUGAUUAAAAAUCAUUUGUUAGCAAGGGCCGGGCAAGACCGGUGCCAGCCGCCGCGGUAACACCGGCGGCCCGAGUGGUAGCCGUUUUUAUUGGGUCUAAAGGGUCCGUAGCCGGCCUGAUAAGUCCUUUGGGAAAUCUGGCAGCUUAACUGUCAGGCUUCUAAGGGAUACUGUCA
rnacentral:rRNA from 1 species